rnacentral:rRNA from 1 species
AUUGAACGCUGGCGGCAGGCUUAACUCAUGCAAGUCGAGCGGGGUGAUGGUGCUUGCACUAUCACUUAGCGGCGGACGGGUGAGUAAUGCUUAGGAAUCUGCCUAUUAGUGGGGGACAACAUCUCGAAAGGGAUGCUAAUACCGCAUACGUCCUACGGGAGAAAGCAGAGGAUCACUUGUGACCUUGCGCUAAUAGAUGAGCCUAAGUCGGAUUAGCUAGUUGGUGGGGUAAAGGCCUACCAAGGCGACGAUCUGUAGCGGGUCUGAGAGGAUGAUCCGCCACACUGGGACUGAGACACGGCCCAGACUCCUACGGGAGGCAGCAGUGGGGAAUAUUGGACAAUGGGGGGAACCCUGAUCCAGCCAUGCCGCGUGUGUGAAGAAGGCCUUAUGGUUGUAAAGCACUUUAAGCGAGGAGGAGGCUCUUUUGGUUAAUACCCAAGAUGAGUGGACGUUACUCGCAGAAUAAGCACCGGCUAACUCUGUGCCAGCCGCCGCUGUAA